rnacentral:rRNA from 1 species
UACGGAGGGUGCAAGCGUUAUCCGGAUUCACUGGGUUUAAAGGGUGCGUAGGUGGAUUUAUAAGUCAGUGGUGAAAGCCCCGAGCUCAACUUGGGAAUUGCCAUUGAUACUGUAGAUCUUGAGUUCGGUUGAGGUAGGCGGAAUAUAUCAUGUAGCGGUGAAAUGCUUAGAUAUGAUAUAGAACACCGAUUGCGAAGGCAGCUUACCAAAGCCGUUACUACACUGAUGCACGAAAGCGUGGGGAUCAAACAGG